AUGCCUCCCGCUCCUUCUCCGGCCCGCCACGCUCCCUCCCCCCUCCCGCCCUCCCGCGUCGCACACAUCCCCNNNNNNNNNNNNNGAGAUAGAUCGCGUCGCGCGGCAGAGCCUCUCUUCCCUCCCUUUUGCCCCUGGGGCAUCGGGGCGGGGUUCGCUCCGGCGCGGCGCGAGGCCGGCCUCCUCCCCGUCCAAGGGAAGGGCGCCCCCGGAGCUCCCGCGCCUGGGCCGGCCGCAUCGGUGGCCCUGUCUGCUUGCUGUAGCGUCCUGUUCGUUCGGCGCCUAGUGCGUGCGUGCGCGCGCUUGCGGGGCUGCGCAGGCUGCUUGCUGGAGUGA
rnacentral:rRNA from 1 species